rnacentral:siRNA from 1 species
UCAACAAUUUUUAAUUUGAGCUC